AAUAAUAUUUUAUUCAUUUCUAUCCUCUUAAUUAGAGUUAACAUUGUUAAAAAAAUAAUUAAAUAUACAAACAGUAAUCAAAAUAUCAUGAUGAUAAUGAUGAUGAUGAUGAAGAUGGCAAUGCUGUUUGCUGUUUGCUGGCAAAAUAUUGUUUAAAUAAGAUAAUAAUAAUAACAAUAGUUAUUUGCAAUGAAUUUUACCGAUGGAUGUCCUCUAUGUAAUGGUAUCGACAGACACAACACCGCCAGUCAAUUGUUUAGUUACUGACAUAUUAUCUGAAAAAUUUAGUAA